AGCUGGAGAAAAGGUUGAAGUGGUGAGAGAAACCUUUGCGUUGCAUGUUAAGACUUCCCAUUCCGAAGGAAUCUCUUCCCCUUAAUCAAUAUAACAAUGCACAUUACUAUUGGAAUUAUUCCACAAAUUGUGGUGAUGUGAAGAGAGAAGGCAGCUGACAUCAAGCAAAGGGGGUCAAGGCUGGAUUCACACCCAGGACACUGUGGAGCCAACUGGUGAUUGAGGCCAGGAGUAUGCGCCGCUGUCUCCCAGAGAAACUGAAGCAUACUGUGACCCAUGGCAUCCUGUGUUGCUGUGAUGAAGAAGAAGAAGGUUGCCAGGCUGUACCAAACGCUUCAUGAUGCCUCCUUUGCUGUGGACUGUCUGCGAUAUGACCUGAAGUCACCAAGCUCCGCCUCCAUGUCUGCACCACCAAAAGACAUGUUCUCCCACCUUUUAUUGAACAAAGUUCCUAUGAACUACAUCACCUAAAGCCCAAGACCCAUACAAUCCACUACCUUCUACUUCCACUGACUGAUGAGACACUACCCUGUGUCUCAUAUGCAGAUGAGAUGUCGGCACACGUAGUAUUGAAAGGCUGCAUGAAGAUGGAGUAGGCCAAAUGAAAAGUGUGGAAUUCAGUGAAAUCAACAUUGGGAUGCUGUGACCCAGAGAAGCUGCAUCCCGAAUAGCUGUGAUGAAGAGGGCUGCCGGGCUUUCCACACAAUGUUGGCAGGUUGAAGCAGUGAGAAACAUCCGGGAGAGGCUACAGGUCUGGUGUAAAGGAAGGAAGAAAGGAUGGAUUUGUAUGAAAUCAACCUGGGAUGCUGUGGCUCAAGUUUCGUUCUGGAUUCUGUACCAAAUCCUUCAUGGUGACAAUGCCCCUUUGCCCUUUGAGUUCAGACCUACGACCGGAGCUUGACAAGCCCUGCACACUGGCCCUGAUCCUCCCCUCCUCUCUGCCACUAUUCUGCAGAUUUUCCAUGAACUCUACCACUUAAAGCUAGAAACUCAUCCAAUCAAGUCCCUAACUUCAGCGAAUCCCAACUCCCGUACACCACUCUGUUAAACUAGCACAUUUACAUCAGAUGAAGCUGUUUCAAAUUCUUGAUCCUAAUUUACCCUGAUGCUCCAAUGCACUCUUUGUGUAACUGUCAUAACUUUGUAUGUUUUUAAUGAUGAUGAUAAUGGUAAUAAUAAUAACUUAGAUUUAUAAGGCGCCUUUCACGAAACCCAAGGUCGCUGGGUUGAUGUUGUUGAACAUUUCAGACCCAUGUGUCUGUUUUUGUAAAGUGAGAAACCAUGUGAGAACAUUUCAGGUUCUCUGUGCAUGAGCCAAGUAAAUCUUGUGCAGCAUUUUGGUUGGUUUUAACAAUUUGGAAACUAGUUGGGAGGAUAAUUGAGCUGGGUCUCCAUAACACUACAGAGAACAAGGUUAAUUGAGUCGACUCGUAAAAUGGUAAGGAUUUCGUCCUUCCCCUUUUUCUCUGUGUGUGAGGAAAUCUGACCAUGAAUCCUUACUGACUGGUGUGUCAUGGUUGUGCCGUUUCCUAAACUAGAUAAGGAUCCAUCUAGUUUUGUGAAUCCGCUCACCGUGGCUUGCCAUCACCUAACCUACCUAACAGUUGAUAUGGUCAUGUAGAGCGACAUAAGUGUGAAGCAUUUGGGCAAAUUGGGUCAAGCAACACUGUAGACUUUGUCAAUGGUCCCUAGCUACAUCUUCACAGACAUGAAGUCUAAAGAAACCCUUUUCAGAUUUGUCAUCAACUCUAGCAACUUUCUAGCUCUACAACUGACUCACAACUACACACCACUCUGCAAAACCACAAUACACUCACACCACAGACAAGUACAUUGAAUUUUAACAGAUGUGACACUGUAACCUAUUGGAUAAACCUUCUAAAACCCCACCCUGCCAACAUUAUGACAGUCUCACCAUUAAAUUGAUACAUUUGGGCCAGAGAGGAAGGCAUGCAGAGUUGGAGAUCAGAUGUCAACGUGAUGAAAUCGCAUCCCGGAUCGCUGUGAUUAAGUUGGCCAAGCUGCACCAAAAGCCUCCAUGACGACGGCUCCUUAUCAUGGGAUGUCCUCAGAUGUUCAAUCCAAACGCCUCUGACCUGAACUACACCUCUGACCCCAGACCUCAUCACUGAGUGAUUUCCACAUGUCUGCAAAAAGACCUGAUCAACUGCCGUUCUUCAAGUUUUCCAUGAACUGAAGACCUCAUCAGACCUAGUACCUCCUACCUCCACUGACUUACACUACAACUACACACCAUUCUGUUAAAUGACCAUCUAUAGACCACUGACAAUGCAAACGAUUUAAUGUUUGAUCCUAAUUUGCCUAAAUGCCUCAGACUCUUCACUGUUUACAAGUCUACAAUUAACUUUCUAUAAUUAUUUGGUUUCUGACAUAGUAAAAAAAACAUGUUUUCAGAGCUGCUUCAUGGUUUGUAACCAGACCCUUUCGUCCUUGAACAGUUUAAAGCUUGUGUGUAUUUUCCUAAAUUUGUGAAUUAGUCAGCGGGUUAAUGAGCUGGGUCUCCUUAACACUGCAGAGAAUAAGGUCACUUGAGUCGACUCAUAAGCUGGUAAGGGUUUUCCCCCUUCCCCUUCUUCUCUCUGUGUGAGGAAACCUGACCAUGGACCCUUACUGACUAGUGUGUCAUGGUUGUGCAGUUUCCAAAAUCAGAUAAGGAUCCAUCUGGUUUUGUGAAUCUGCUCAUUAUGGCAUGCUGUUAUAUGUAAUGAUCGCUGAUGGACUGCUGGCAGCCUCACUUUGGGUGUACUAUAAAUCCAUGAGGUUUGGGCACUUAUGUGCAUGACAAUAAAAAUAAUCAAAUACAUUAUACCAAGAUGCAAGUAACAGUCUGGUAUGAUCAGAUUUGUCAUCUAGAACAAGGUAACCACUUGUAGACACAGUGAGUCGGAAGCAUUUGGCUAAAUGAAGGUCAAACAUUUAAAUUUGUAUGCUUCGUCAGUGUUUGUAUGCUACGGUCACUGCCACAGAUAACGUGUAGUGCAGCACUACAACAUAAUUACACACCACAGAAUGACACUUUAAACACACCAACACAACAGGACACGCUGCCUGAAUUUUCAGGCUUUAAUUAUGCUACUUAAAUCAUGUAAAGUUUUGUUUUUAUUUACAAAUAUUUGAAGGACUUUAUCAAGGGGCUUUUUUUUUGUAAAAUGCUGUAAUAGAUUACCCAAAUGCAUUAGUAUCUUUUCUAUCAAACAUGUUUGUCAAACAUUGUGUUUACCUUUUUGUUAACAUGUCAUUUUUAUGCUUUAAGCAUUUGCAGCACCUACAGCAACACGGUGUCGUUAAAUGUGCUAAAUUAUGUUUGAUUGUUAUAUUUUGUGGCACACAGAUAACUGGAUCUUCAUUUAAAAAAAUAAAUGCCACCUUAUGAA